UACGUAGGGUGCGAGCGUUAAUCGGAAUUACUGGGCGUAAAGCGUGCGCAGGCGGUGAUGUAAGACGGGUGUGAAAUCCCCGGGCUUAACCUGGGAACUGCAUUUGUGACUGCAUGGCUAGAGUUUGGCAGAGGGGGGGUAGAAUUCCACGUGUGAGCAGUGAAAUGCGUAGAUAUGUGGAGGAACACCGAUGGCGAAGGCAGCCCCCCUGGGUCAAGACUGACGCUCAUGCACGAAAGCGUGGGGAGCAAACGAGG
rnacentral:rRNA from 1 species